GCCCAGGUGGCGGAAUUGGUAGACGCGCCAGCUUCAGGUGCUGGUUCUCGAAAGGGAGUGGAAGUUCGAGUCUUCUCCUGGGCA
rnacentral:tRNA from 1 species